rnacentral:rRNA from 1 species
UGCCGCGUGCAGGAAGACGGCCCUAUGGGUUGUAAACUGCUUUUAUACGGGAAGAACCACAUCUACGUGUAGAUGCUUGACGGUACCGUAUGAAUAAGGACCGGCUAACUCCGUGCCAGCAGCCGCGGUAAUACGGAGGGUCCAAGCGUUAUCCGGAAUCAUUGGGUUUAAAGGGUCCGUAGGCGGGAUAAUAAGUCAGUGGUGAAAGUCUGCAGCUCAACUGUAGAAUUGCCAUUGAUACUGUUGUUCUUGAAUUAUUAUGAAGUGGUUGGAAUGAGUAGUGUAGCGGUGAAAUGCAUAGAUAUUACUCAGAACACCUAUUGCGAAGGCAGAUCACUAAUAAUAUAUUGACGCUGAGGGACGAAAGCGUAGGUAGCGAACAGGAUUAGAUACCCUGGUAGUCUACGCCGUAAACGAUGGUUACUAGCUGUUCGGCUCGAUUGAGAGCUGAGUGGUUAAGCGAAAGUGAUAAGUAACCCACCUGGGGAGUACGUUCGCAAGAAUGAAACUCA